GUGAGGAAUAUUGCUCAAUGGGCGAAAGCCUGAAGCAGCGACGCCGCGUGAGGGAUGAAAUCCGUUAGGAUGUAAACCUCUUUUGCGAGGGAAGAAUGGUCCGCUUUAAGCGGGCAGGGACUGUACCUCGUGAAUAAGCACCGGCUAACUACGUGCCAGCAGCCGCGGUAAUACGUAGGGUGCGAGCGUUGUCCGGAAUUACUGGGUGUAAAGGGUCCGCAGGCGGGGAAGUAAGUCAGUGGUGAAAUGCUGCAGCUCAACUGCAGAACUGCCGUUGAUACUGCUUCUCUUGAGUUCGAGAGAGGAUAAUGGAAUUCAUGGUGUAGCGGUGAAAUGCGUAGAUAUCAUGAAGAACACCGAUUGCGAAGGCAGUUAUCUGGCUCGAUACUGACGCUCAGGGACGAAAGCGUGGGUAGCAAACAGGAUUAGAUACCCGAGUAGUCC
rnacentral:rRNA from 1 species